UACGUAGGGGGCAAGCGUUGUCCGGAUUUAUUGGGCGUAAAGAGCGUGUAGGCGGCUAGGUAGGUCCGUUGUGAAAACUCGAGGCUCAACCUCGAGACGCCGAUGGAAACCAUCUGGCUAGAGUCCGGAAGAGGAGAGUGGAAUUCCUGGUGUAGCGGUGAAAUGCGCAGAUAUCAGGAAGAACACCCGCGGCUAAGGCGGCUCUCUAGUACGGUACUGACGCUGAGACGCGAAAGCGUGGGGAGCGAACAGG
rnacentral:rRNA from 1 species